GCCAGGCAUGGUGGCGCAUGCCUAUAAUCCCAGCGGCUUGGGAGGCUUGGGACAGGAGGAUCGCCAGUUCACAGCCAGCCUCAGCAACAGUGAGGCACUAACUUAGUGAGACCCUGUCUCUA
rnacentral:sRNA from 1 species